rnacentral:rRNA from 1 species
GGGGGGGGGGGGGGGGGGGGGGGGGGGAGGGGAGGCGGGCGGGGGCGGCGGGUGGAGGGGGGCGCGGGGGCGGAGCGCGGGGGAACGGGCCGUUGGGUGCGGCAUACGUGCCGGGAAGGGGGGCUAAUCCCGGGUAGGGUCGGGGGACAAAAGAUUUGUCGCCUUUGGAUGGGCCCGCGUUGGAUUAGCUAGUUGGUAGGGUAAAAGCCUACCAAGGCGACGAUCCAUAGCUGGUCUGAGAGGAUGAUCAGCCACACUGGGACUGAGACACGGCCCAGACUCCUACGGGAGGCAGCAGUGGGGAAUAUUGGACAAUGGGCGAAAGCCUGAUCCAGCAAUGCCGCGUGAGUGAUGAAGGCCUUAGGGUUGUAAAGCUCUUUUACCCGGGAUGAUAAUGACAGUACCGGGAGAAUAAGCUCCGGCUAACUCCGUG